GAUGAAGAACGUAGCGAAAUGCGAUACUUGGUGUGAAUUGCAGAAUCCCGUGAACCAUCGAGUCUUUGAACGCAAGUUGCGCCCGAAGCCGUCAGGCCGAGGGCACGCCUGCCUGGGCGUCACACGCCGUUGACCCCCCGCGCCCCGCACCCAACUCUUUGGGAGCGACCGCGGGGCGGGCUGAUGAUGGCCUCCCGUGCGCUCCGCCGCGCGGUUGGCCCAAAUACCGAGUCCCCGGCGACGUGCGCCACGACGAUCGGUGGUUGAGAGACCUCUGUCGCAAGUCGUGCGCGCCCGUCGCGUCACGCGGGCUCGCAUAGCGCCUCGCGCCGCACCCGGUGCGGAGCUUUCAACGCGACCCCAGGUCAGGCGGGGUUACCCGCUGAAUUUAAGCAUAUCAAUAAGCGGAGGA
rnacentral:misc_RNA from 1 species